rnacentral:rRNA from 1 species
UACAGGGGGGGCAAGCGUUGUUCGGAAUUACUGGGCGUAAAGGGUUCGUAGGUGGCCAACUAAGUCAGACGUGAAAUCCCUCAGCUUAACUGGGGAACUGCGUCUGAUACUGGAUGGCUUGAGUGCAGGAGAGGAAUGCGGAAUUCCAGGUGUAGCGGUGAAAUGCGUAGAUAUCUGGAGGAACACCGGUGGCGAAGGCGGCAUUCUGGACUGUAACUGACACUGAGGAACGAAAGCCAGGGGAGCAAACAGG